AUGUGAUAUAGCAAGAAAGAGUAGUUACCACCCCUAGAUGCUAUUAAUGUGUUGCUAUUUCCAUGAGUCAAGGACAA
rnacentral:misc_RNA from 1 species